UCCGUGUAAAGUGAGUGCAUUUAUUGAGAAUUAAUGGAAAAUAUCUUAUUCUCUCUGAUAUUCACUCCUGAAAUUCAUUGAAGAACACAUGGCAGGAGCAGGGUCGUAUUCGUGCUCCUAUAUGCAGAGAAUGGAGAGCUGGAACUGCAGUGAAAACACAAUUAAUAUAUUUAUAGGACAAAAGGACCCCUUACUGGAACAGCUCGGCACAGCGCUCUCACUCAAUCAGGAACGUGAGGAGAAGUCGAGUGGAGAGGGUAAGACAACCAGGUAGGCCGCGAUCAAAUGGACACUACUAAAAGUAAAGCAGUUAAUCUCGUAAAACCUCGACGGUUAAUCCUGUCAUCUUCUUCAGUCAUUUUCACUCAGUGGCGAAAAUUUCGCAGGACAAUCGCUUCAGUUCGUUUUCAGUAAAGAAGAAAAAUCGGUCCAAGUUCGAUUUUAACAGCUUUUAAAAUAAUGAGUAGAAUUGUUAUCUUUUCCAAUUAUGAUACCAUUCACUUUAAGCUGAUAUUUUUAA